UAUCGACAGGCUUAACACAUGCAAGUCGAGGGGCAGCACAGGUAGCAAUACCGGGUGGCGACCGGCGCACGGGUGAGUAACGCGUAUGCAACUUACCUAUCAGAGGGGGAUAACCCGGCGAAAGUCGGACUAAUACCGCAUGAAGCAGGGGCCCCGCAUGGGGAUAUUUGCUAAAGAUUCAUCGCUGAUAGAUAGGCAUGCGUUCCAUUAGGCAGUUGGCGGGGUAACGGCCCACCAAACCGACGAUGGAUAGGGGUUCUGAGAGGAAGGUCCCCCACAUUGGUACUGAGACACGGACCAAACUCCUACGGGAGGCAGCAGUGAGGAAUAUUGGUCAAUGGCCGAGAGGCUGAACCAGCCAAGUCGCGUGAGGGAUGAAGGUUCUAUGGAUCGUAAACCUCUUUUAUAAGGGAAUAAAGUGCGGGACGUGUCCCGUUUUGUAUGUACCUUAUGAAUAAGGAUCGGCUAACUCCGUGCCAGCAGCCGCGGUAAUACGGAGGAUCCGAGCGUUAUCCGGAUUUAUUGGGUUUAAAGGGUGCGUAGGCGGCCUUUUAAGUCAGCGGUGAAAGUCUGUGGCUCAACCAUAGAAUUGCCGUUGAAACUGGGGGGCUUGAGUAUGUUUGAGGCAGGCGGAAUGCGUGGUGUAGCGGUGAAAUGCAUAGAUAUCACGCAGAACCCCGAUUGCGAAGGCAGCCUGCCAAGCCAUUACUGACGCUGAUGCACGAAAGCGUGGGGAUCAAACAGGAUUAGAUACCCUGGUAGUCCACGCAGUAAACGAUGAUCACUAGCUGUUUGCGAUACACUGUAAGCGGCACAGCGAAAGCGUUAAGUGAUCCACCUGGGGAGUACGCCGGCAACGGUGAAACUCAAAGGAAUUGACGGGGGCCCGCACAAGCGGAGGAACAUGUGGUUUAAUUCGAUGAUACGCGAGGAACCUUACCCGGGUUUGAACGCAUUCGGACCGAGGUGGAAACACCUUUUCUAGCAAUAGCCGUUUGCGAGGUGCUGCAUGGUUGUCGUCAGCUCGUGCCGUGAGGUGUCGGCUUAAGUGCCAUAACGAGCGCAACCCUUGCCACUAGUUACUAACAGGUAAAGCUGAGGACUCUGGUGGGACUGCCAGCGUAAGCUGCGAGGAAGGCGGGGAUGACGUCAAAUCAGCACGGCCCUUACAUCCGGGGCGACACACGUGUUACAAUGGCGUGGACAAAGGGAAGCCACCUGGCGACAGGGAGCGAAUCCCCAAACCACGUCUCAGUUCGGAUCGGAGUCUGCAACCCGACUCCGUGAAGCUGGAUUCGCUAGUAAUCGCGCAUCAGCCAUGGCGCGGUGAAUACGUUCCCGGGCCUUGUACACACCGCCCGUCAAGCCAUGGGAGCCGGGGGUACCUGAAGUCCGUAACCGCGAGGAUCGGCCUAGGGUAAAACUGGUGACUGGGGCUA
rnacentral:rRNA from 1 species